GACGAACGCUGGCGGCAUGCCUAACACAUGCAAGUCGAACGAGACCUUCGGGUCUUGUUGCGCACGGGGACUUACCACCUGGUAACCUGCCCUUGAGUUCCGUGUCACUCCCCGAGAGAGGACCUAAUGCCACAUCAUCUCAUCCCGCCAAAGAUCUCUCGCCUGUGGAUGGGCCCGCGUUAGAUUAGCUAGUUGGUAGGGUAAAAGCCUACCAAGGCGACGUUCCAUAGCUGGUCUGAGAGGAUGAUCAGCCACACUGGGACUGAGACACGGCCCAGACUCCUACGGGAGGCAGCAGUGGGGAAUAUUGGACAAUGGGGGAAAGCCUGAUACAGCAACGCCGCGUGAGUGAUGAAGGCCUUAGGGUUGUAAAGCUCUUUUACCCGGGAUGAUAAUGACAGUACCGGGAGAAGAAGCGCCGGCUAACUACGUG
rnacentral:rRNA from 1 species